UGAAUUAUAGGAAUUUGCCUAGCUUGCUUUGACUCUCAAUCUGGUUUGUCAUUUUUAAAUGACAAACCAGAUUGAGAGUCAAAGCAAGCUAGGCGAAUUCCUAUAUA